UGGAAGGAAAAGGCUCUGCCUCUGUAGGA
rnacentral:piRNA from 1 species